UACGUAGGGGGCAAGCGUUGUCCGGAUUUAUUGGGCGUAAAGAGCGUGUAGGCGGUCUGGUAGGUCCGUUGUGAAAACUCGAGGCUCAACCUCGAGACGCCGAUGGAAACCAUCAGACUAGAGUCCGGAAGAGGAGAGUGGAAUUCCUGGUGUAGCGGUGAAAUGCGCAGAUAUCAGGAAGAACACCCGUGGCUAAGGCGGCUCUCUAGUACGGUACCGACGCUGAGACGCGAAAGCGUGGGGAGCGAACAGG
rnacentral:rRNA from 1 species